rnacentral:rRNA from 1 species
UUAUGGCUCAGGACGAACGCUGGCGGCGUGCUUCAUACAUGCAAGUCGAACGAUAAGGCACCUUCGGGUGUACAUAAGUGGCGGACGGGUGAGUAAUAUGUAGAGAAUCUGCCCUAGAGAGCGGGACAACAGUUGGAAACGACUGCUAAUACCGCAUAUGAGCGUAGCUGAAAUGCUAUUCUUGAAAACUCCGGUGCUCUGGGAUGAGUCUGCAUCUGAUUAGCUAGUUGGGGGUGUAAUGGACCACCAAGGCGACGAUCAGUAGCUGGUUUGAGAGGAUGAUCAGCCACAAUGGGACUGAGACACGGCCCAUACUCCUACGGGAGGCAGCAGUAGGGAAUUUUGCGCAAUGGGGGAAACCCUGACGCCAGCAACGCCGCGUGACCGAUGAAGCCCUUCGGGGUGUAAAGGUCUGUCAGUGGGGACGAAUAUUGACGGUACCCACAGAGGAAGCAUCGGCUAACUCCGUGCCAGCCGCUGC